rnacentral:rRNA from 1 species
GACGAACGCUGGCGGCGGGCUUAACACAUGCAAGUCGAACGGAAAGGCCCUGCUUUUGUGGGGUGCUCGAGUGGCGAACGGGUGAGUAACACGUGAGUAACCUGCCCUUGACUUUGGGAUAACUUCAGGAAACUGGGGCUAAUACCGGAUAGGAGCUCCUGCUGCAUGGUGGGGGUUGGAAAGUUUCGGCGGUUGGGGAUGGACUCGCGGCUUAUCAGCUUGUUGGUGGGGUAGUGGCUUACCAAGGCUUUGACGGGUAGCCGGCCUGAGAGGGUGACCGGCCACCUUGGGACUGAGAUACGGCCCAGACUCCUACGGGAGGCAGCAGUGGGGAAUAUUGCACAAUGGGCGGAAGCCUGAUGCAGCAACGCCGCGUGCGGGAUGACGGCCUUCGGGUUGUAAACCGCUUUCGCCUGUGACGAAGCGUGAGUGACGGUAAUGGGUAAAGAAGCACCGGCUAACUACGUG